UUUUUUGCAUAUCCAAUAGCGGAGGAAAAGAAACCAACCGGGAUUGCCUUAGUAACGGCGAGUGAAGCGGCAAAAGCUCAAAUUUGAAAUCUGGUACCUUCGGUGCCCGAGUUGUAAUUUGUAGAAGGUAACUUUGGGGCUGGUCCUUGUCUAUGUUCCUUGGAACAGGACGUCAUAGAGGGUGAGAAUCCCGUGUGGCGAGGAUCCCAGUUCUUUGUAAAGUGCUUUCGAAGAGUCGAGUUGUUUGGGAAUGCAGCUCUAAGUGGGUGGUAAAUUCCAUCUAAAGCUAAAUAUUGGCGAGAGACCGAUAGCGAACAAGUACAGUGAUGGAAAGAUGAAAAGAACUUUGAAAAGAGAGUGAAAAAGUACGUGAAAUUGUUGAAAGGGAAGGGCAUUUGAUCAGACAUGGUGUUUUGCGCCCUCUGCUCCUUGUGGGUGGGGGAAUCUCGCAGCUCACUGGGCCAGCAUCAGUUUUGGCGGCAGGAUAAAUCUGCAGGAAUGUAGCUUGCCUCGGUAAGUGUUAUAUCCUGUAGAAAUACUGCCAGCUGGGACUGAGGACUGCGACUUUACGUCAAGGAUGCUGGCAUAAUGGUUAUAUGCCGCCCGUCUUGAUAACACGGAACCAAAAAACG
rnacentral:rRNA from 1 species